rnacentral:rRNA from 1 species
CCUACGGGUUGCAGCAGUGGGGAAUAUUGGACAAUGGGCGAAAGCCUGAUCCAGCCAUGCCGCGUGUGUGAAGAAGGCCUUCGGGUUGUAAAGCACUUUCAGUGGGGAAGAAAGCCUUGGGGCUAAUACCCUCGAGGAAGGACAUCACCCACAGAAGAAGCACCGGCUAACUCCGUGCCAGCAGCCGCGGUAAUACGGAGGGUGCGAGCGUUAAUCGGAAUUACUGGGCGUAAAGCGCGCGUAGGCGGUCUGAUAAGCCGGUUGUGAAAGCCCCGGGCUCAACCUGGGAACGGCAUCCGGAACUGUCAGGCUAGAGUGCAGGAGAGGAAGGUAGAAUUCCCGGUGUAGCGGUGAAAUGCGUAGAGAUCGGGAGGAAUACCAGUGGCGAAGGCGGCCUUCUGAACUGACACUGACGCUGAGGUGCGAAAGCGUGGGUAGCAAACAGGAUUAGAUACCCUAGUAGUC